rnacentral:lncRNA from 1 species
ACCGCAGGGUAACCACCUGUAACAACAUAGUCAAAAGAGAGAACCGAGGUUCCUCGAUCUCUUUCCAUCGUAGUUACACCCACUUCACCGUCAAACAACCUCAGAACAACUAGUGAAUCAUCAUUCGGUUCCAAAAUCAAAUCUGAAUCAAGUGUGUUAAGGAGUGGAAUUUUGUUGAGGGUGAGGGUUCUUGAUUGAUUGUUGAUAAAUUAAAUAUGUAUGCAUAUGCUCUCACAAUGAAUGUUUUGAUGAUAGACA